CCUACGUGUGGCAGCAGUGAGGAAUAUUGGUCAAUGGGCGCGAGCCUGAACCAGCCAAGUCGCGUGAGGGAAGACGGCCCUACGGGUUGUAAACCUCUUUUGUCGGGGAGCAACGGGCGCCACGUGUGGCGCCACUGAGAGUACCUGGAGAAAAAGCAUCGGCUAACUCCGUGCCAGCAGCCGCGGUAAUACGGAGGAUGCGAGCGUUAUCCGGAUUUAUUGGGUUUAAAGGGUGCGUAGGCGGGGUGUCAAGUCAGAGGGGAAAUUUGGGGGCUCAACCCCCUGACUGCCAUUGAAACUGGCGGUCUGGAGUGGAGGAGAGGUAGGCGGAAUGCGUGGUGUAGCGGUGAAAUGCGUAGAUAUCACGAAGAACCCCGAUUGCGAAGGCAGCAUACUGGCCUGCGACUGACGCUGAGGCUCGAAAGCGUGGGGAUCAAACAGGAUUAGAUACCCGAGUAGUC
rnacentral:rRNA from 1 species